CUUGGGGUCCAGGGGCACCAGCGUCUCCCUUCUGUCCAGAUUCUCCCUGCUCUCCCUUGGUUCCAGGUUGACCGUCAGCUCCCUGAAAGAAAAAGACACAAACAGGGGUCCAGCAAAUCCAGCAGGCCCAGGAGGUCCAGUCUCACCCCUGUCACCCUGAAAGAAGAGAAGCAAGAAAAACUCAAUGGGUAGUCCGGGCUGCAACGCUGUGUGAGCAAGCGCACCGCGGGUACCAGGAGCUCCAGAAGGACCAGCAGGACCAGAUUCUCCCUGAAAGGAAAGACAGCAUCAAGCCAUAAACACUGGGUUCAGAUACACUGUCAGUGACAGGUCCGGGAAUGCCAGCAGCUCCUCUCUCUCCAGGCAUACCCUGCAGGCCGGGGGGUCCUUGAGCUCCAGCGGCACCGGCAGGUCCAAUGGCUCCCUAUGACGGAGGAGAAAUAAAUGGAGAUGGAUUCAUGCAGUAUCCUGAAGUUACUGUAUAUGAUGUAAGCGCCUGCUACAGAUGUGAGGAGGUGCCGUUUGCGUAGUGAUGCAUUCAAGGUUUUGCGCUGAAACCUUGACUUUUGUUGAGAAUGUUUUUGCUGUCACAUUUCAGAUUGCUUUUGCCAAGACUUUGUGUUUAUUUACACACGAGUCAGAAAUACAAAAAUGCUGCUCUUAUAGAGUGAGAACGCAUCCACUUCAACAAAACAGACAAUCUGUCUCAGCAAGUUCUGCUCAAGGUUAUCAAUUGAUGGAAAGGAAAGAAAAAAACAGCUGUUAAAUAUUAAUCACCUGACACAGGCUGUUCACUUUCUGGAUUAAAAUAAACUUUAGCCAACUCUUUUGACCAAAAAGUCAGUCAAUCAGUUUUGGAUAUAAAAAAUAUCUCAAAUUCUAUGUGUUCCUUUUAAAGCUGUAUUUUAAAGAAAGAAUGGGGAGUUUGAUCAUAAAAAAAAAAAAAAAUUCUAUUCGACAUAUCAAAGCCAAGAAAAUGGAAGGAAAUGCAGGCUUUGAUUUUGUUCAUAAGUGGCUCCACUAGGCCCACUCCUGGUCAGAAGUUGUCAGGCUUAUCAGGGCUGCUUUCUGCUGCAGCCUCAGACUGAAGAUCAGACAUACAUCUCCAGUCAUUAAACUGUAGCCACAAGGCUCUUGCAGCCUCCAUGUUGGCUAUGAAUGCAUUAAAACUGUACAUCAGCCCCCUUAGUUCCAAUACAAUGUGUCUUGAGCAACAAAUCCUUCUGAAUCUUUCUCAUAUUUCCUGCUUCACCCUCCACAACCUCUCUGUUGAUUUCUCCUCCAUCACUCAUGUCAGCUCUAUAAUCCUCAUCCUCUCUAUCCACUCCUGUCUGACCUCAAGGGGAAGAAAACCUAUGAACUGGGAUUAAAAUCUGACCCGAUAACAAAUCAAGAGUGGGAACUGCAGCCGCUCUGAGCUCUUUCUCUACUUACAGUGCUGUUGUGAGAAAUUACUGCAGUGACUGAAAUGUGUUGAUGGCUGAUAAACGAGUGACUGUGCAACUUGGUUGGAAAUACACUGGGUUACCUGGUGUUUAGGGAACAUAUAGAAAAUAUUAUUUCUCUUUAAAAUACUCACAUUUUUUAUGAACUCAUUAAAAUGUAGUAUUCCAAUACAGGUAAAUUGAAUCCUGCAGAUCCUUAUUAUGGUGAUAAUAUAGUUCUUUAUUCAAAUGAUGCAGGGUUCCCUGCAGUGUGUACAUAUAGUGUUUAUACAGGUACAGUAUGCAUCAUCCAGUGAUAUAGUGUUUAUAUCCAGAUAUGUGUGCACAGUUUGUAUGCUUGUAUGGCCAUACAGUGUGUAUAUGACUAUAUAUGGAGUAUAUGUGACUGGAUGUCUAUGUGCACAUAGACGUUUUGCUUAAUUCAAAUAAUUAAUGAUCAAUAA